CAAGAGGUCGUAAAUGGA
rnacentral:misc_RNA from 1 species